GAUGAACACUGGCGGCGUGCUUAACACAUGCAAGUCGAACGAUGCAGAUUGAGAUCUUCGGAAGGAUAUCUGACUGAGUGGCGGACGGGUGAGUAACGCGUGGGUAACCUGCCUCAUACAGGGGGAUAACAGUUAGAAAUGACUGCUAAUACCGCAUAAGCGCACAGUACCGCAUGGUACGGUGUGAAAAACUCCGGUGGUAUGAGAUGGACCCGCGUCUGAUUAGCUAGUUGGUGGGGUAACGGCCUACCAAGGCGACGAUCAGUAGCCGACCUGAGAGGGUGACCGGCCACAUUGGGACUGAGACACGGCCCAAACUCCUACGGGAGGCAGCAGUGGGGAAUAUUGCACAAUGGGCGAAAGCCUGAUGCAGCGACGCCGCGUGAGUGAAGAAGUAUUUCGGUAUGUAAAGCUCUAUCAGCAGGGAACAAAACGACGGUACCUGACUAAGAAGCACCGGCUAAAUACGUGCCAGCCGCCGCCGUAACAC
rnacentral:rRNA from 1 species